CUGUAAGCCUGUGAAGGUGUACUGUGAGGUAUGCUGGAGGUAUCAGAAGUGCGAAUGCUGACAUAAGUAACGAUAAAGCGGGUGAAAAGCCCGCUCGCCGGAAGACCAAGGGUUCCUGUCCAACGUUAAUCGGGGCAGGGUGAGUCGACCCCUAAGGCGAGGCCGAAAGGCGUAGUCGAUGGGAAACAGGUUAAUAUUCCUGUACUUGGUGUUACUGCGAAGGGGGGACGGAGAAGGCUAUGUUGGCCGGGCGACGGUUGUCCCGGUUUAAGCGUGUAGGCUGGUUUUCCAGGCAAAUCCGGAAAAUCAAGGCUGAGGCGUGAUGACGAGGCACUACGGUGCUGAAGCAACAAAUGCCCUGCUUCCAGGAAAAGCCUCUAAGCAUCAGGUAACAUCAAAUCGUACCCCAAACCGACACAGGUGGUCAGGUAGAGAAUACCAAGGCGCUUGAGAGAACUCGGGUGAAGGAACUAGGCAAAAUGGUGCCGUAACUUCGGGAGAAGGCACGCUGAUAUGUAGGUGAAGUCCCUCGCGGAUGGAGCUGAAAUCAGUCGAAGAUACCAGCUGGCUGCAACUGUUUAUUAAAAACACAGCACUGUGCAAACACGAAAGUGGACGUAUACGGUGUGACGCCUGCCCGGUGCCGGAAGGUUAAUUGAUGGGGUCAGCGCAAGCGAAGCUCUUGAUCGAAGCCCCGGUAAACGGCGGCCGUAACUAUAACGGUCCUAAGGUAGCGAAAUUCCUUGUCGGGUAAGUUCCGACCUGCACGAAUGGCGUAAUGAUGGCCAGGCUGUCUCCACCCGAGACUCAGUGAAAUUGAACUCGCUGUGAAGAUGCAGUGUACCCGCGGCAAGACGGAAAGACCCCGUGAACCUUUACUAUAGCUUGACACUGAACAUUGAGCCUUGAUGUGUAGGAUAGGUGGGAGGCUUUGAAGUGUGGACGCCAGUCUGCAUGGAGCCGACCUUGAAAUACCACCCUUUAAUGUUUGAUGUUCUAACGUGGACCCGUGAUCCGGGUUGCGGACAGUGUCUGGUGGGUAGUUUGACUGGGGCGGUCUCCUCCUAAAGAGUAACGGAGGAGCACGAAGGUUGGCUAAUCCUGGUCGGACAUCAGGAGGUUAGUGCAAUGGCAUAAGCCAGCUUGACUGCGAGCGUGACGGCGCGAGCAGGUGCGAAAGCAGGUCAUAGUGAUCCGGUGGUUCUGAAUGGAAGGGCCAUCGCUCAACGGAUAAAAGGUACUCCGGGGAUAACAGGCUGAUACCGCCCAAGAGUUCAUAUCGACGGCGGUGUUUGGCACCUCGAUGUCGGCUCAUCACAUCCUGGGGCUGAAGUAGGUCCCAAGGGUAUGGCUGUUCGCCAUUUAAAGUGGUACGCGAGCUGGGUUUAGAACGUCGUGAGACAGUUCGGUCCCUAUCUGCCGUGGGCGCUGGAGAACUGAGGGGGGCUGCUCCUAGUACGAGAGGACCGGAGUGGACGCAUCACUGGUGUUCGGGUUGUCAUGCCAAUGGCACUGCCCGGUAGCUAAAUGCGGAAGAGAUAAGUGCUGAAAGCAUCUAAGCACGAAACUUGCCCCGAGAUGAGUU
rnacentral:rRNA from 1 species